AUUGAACGCUGGCGGCAGGCCUAACACAUGCAAGUCGAGCGGAUGAAGGGAGCUUGCUCCUGGAUUCAGCGGCGGACGGGUGAGUAAUGCCUAGGAAUCUGCCUGGUAGUGGGGGAUAACGUCCGGAAACGGGCGCUAAUACCGCAUACGUACUGAGGGAGAAAGUGGGGGAUCUUCGGACCUCACGCUAUCAGAUGAGCCUAGGUCGGAUUAGCUAGUUGGUGGGGUAAAGGCCUACCAAGGCGACGAUCCGUAACUGGUCUGAGAGGAUGAUCAGUCACACUGGAACUGAGACACGGUCCAGACUCCUACGGGCGGCAGCAGUGGGGAAUAUUGGACGCUGGGCGAAAGCCUGCUCCAGCCAUGCCGCGUGUGUGAAGAAGGUCUUCGGAUUGUAAAGCACUUUUAGUUGGGAGGAAGGGCAGUAAGUGAAUACCUUGCUGUUUUGACGUUACCAACAGAAUAAGCACCGGCUAACUUCGUG
rnacentral:rRNA from 1 species